UUUGCUCAACAGAACACUAUUAACAGUAUGCCAACUGCCUUGCAUAUGUCUCUUCAUUUGCUACCUUCAAGAAAUCUUAAACUUAAGGUCAUUAUGUCUGUAUUAUAGAUGACACACUCAGGCCUCAAAAAUCAGAGUGGAGGAAAUCCCAUAUUGGAGUUAGUUCUGUGCAGUUCAGAGGAGAGGCUUCUCUACUUGGGCUCAAUA